rnacentral:rRNA from 1 species
AUGGACUCGCGGCCUAUCAGCUUGUUGGUGAGGUAAUGGCUCACCAAGGCGACGACGGGUAGCCGGCCUGAGAGGGUGACCGGCCACACUGGGACUGAGACACGGCCCAGACUCCUACGGGAGGCAGCAGUGGGGAAUAUUGCACAAUGGGCGCAAGCCUGAUGCAGCGACGCCGCGUGAGGGAUGACGGCCUUCGGGUUGUAAACCUCUUUCAGUAGGGAAGAAGCGAAAGUGACGGUACCUGCAGAAGAAGCACCGGCUAACUACGUGCCAGCAGCCGCGGUAAUACGUAGGGUGCGAGCGUUAUCCGGAAUUAUUGGGCGUAAAGAGCUCGUAGGCGGUUUGUCGCGUCUGUCGUGAAAGUCCGGGGCUUAACCCCGGAUCUGCGGUGGGUACGGGCAGACUAGAGUGCAGUAGGGGAGACUGGAAUUCCUGGUGUAGCGGUGGAAUGCGCAGAUAUCAGGAGGAACACCGAUGGCGAAGGCAGGUCUCUGGGCUGUAACUGACGCUGAGGAGCGAAAGCAUGGGGAGCGAACAGGAUUAGAUACCCUGGUAGUCCAUGCCGUAAACGUUGGGCACUAGGUGUGGGGACCAUUCCACGGUUUCCGCGCCGCAGCUAACGCAUUAAGUGCCCCGCCUGGGGAGUACGGCCGCAAGGCUAAAACUCAAAGGAAUUGACGGGGGCCCGCACAAGCGGCGGAGCAUGCGGAUUAAUUCGAUGCAACGCGAAGAACCUUACCAAGGCUUGACAUGUUCUCGAUCGCCGUAGAGAUACGGUUUCCCCUUUGGGGCGGGUUCACAGGUGGUGCAUGGUUGUCGUCAGCUCGUGUCGUGAGAUGUUGGGUUAAGUCCCGCAACGAGCGCAACCCUCGUUCCAUGUUGCCAGCACGUAAUGGUGGGGACUCAUGGGAGACUGCCGGGGUCAACUCGGAGGAAGGUGAGGACGACGUCAAAUCAUCAUGCCCCUUAUGUCUUGGGCUUCACGCAUGCUACAAUGGCCGGUACAAUGGGUUGCGAUACUGUGAGGUGGAGCUAAUCCCAAAAAGCCGGU